rnacentral:rRNA from 1 species
AUGCCGCCCAAGGCUCCCAAAGCACCCGUCACAUGCAACUGGGUUAGAUCCACCGUCACUGAUAGCAUCUUAAACGAUUUUGUGAAGACUGGUCAUUUGCCAAAGAAAGAGAUCAUGUCUUAUCGUGCUCCUGACCCGUCAGAAGAAAAGCCUCAACCCAAGGAUGGGGAAGUUGUCAUUUUUACUAAUCACAUGAACCGGGGCUUUGCUGCACCCGGCUCAAAAUUUUUCAGAGACGUCUUGCACUUUUUUGACCUGCGACCUCAAGACAUCGGACCCAAUUCCGUGUCAAACAUCUGCAAUUUCCAAGUAUUUUGUGAGGUGUACCUUGGAGAAGAACCCAUCUUACUACUCUUUAGAGAGUUAUUUUAUCUGAACCGUCAAAACGAAUGUGCCCACGGGCCCAGCUUGGAGCUUGGCGGAAUCUCAAUCCAGCGACGUAGAGACUGUCUCUUCCCUUAUGCCGAGCCGCCGAGUCACCCUAAAGAUUGGAACCAGACAUGGUUCUACUGUCAAGACACUUCUCCGGCUAAUGAGAACCCUUUGCCCGGCUUUCGCGCCCUGCGCCUGGAGUCAACUCACCCCUUACCAGAUAAAUUAUCUCCGGCUGAACGUCAAACACUUGCCCCCACCAUAAACAAGAUCAAAGCUCUUCUGGGGAACGGCCUAAACGGCAUUGACUUGGUCCGAGUUUGGAUUGCCUGGCGGGUGAUUCCUUUGAGCCGCCGCCCCGACUUGAUGUGCGAUUACACAGGCCAGAAAAAUGAUCCUCUACGGCACAGUCCCGACGACUUACCUGAGGAUGUCUUUGAUGACAUGACCAAGUCUCUUCUGAACGAGAGCCUGGCAGAUUGCGGGAAAGCGGGCUUAAGUCCUUUCUGCAAGGCUAACCCGGCUCCAGCGGCUGGUGAGAAAUUCCGGAAGGUCAAGUAUGACCAUGAGGCUGCAAAGAAAGCCAGAAAGGCCAAGAAAGCCGCCAGGAAAGACGCUGCCCGUAAGAAGGGGAACAAACCUAGCGCCUCGGAUAUGUUUCAUCUGGACGAUACCUCUGAGUCAGAGGAGGAUACAGGAGCAAGUCAUGCAGUAAUUGAAGAGGUAACUAUAAUUUCCUCCGACUCCGAGCCUUUGCCGAGACAGAAAGUCCGAAGGGUAACUCGGAAAGCUGCCAUUAAGCAAUUUGAAUCGGAGAUCUCUGACUUGAAGAAUCGCCUGAAAACUCAAGAGAGUGAAACCCAAAAGGCGAAUUCCAAGUUUGAAUUCAGUGUAUCCGCACAAGAGAAAUUGAAAAAGAAGUUUGAAGCAGAGAGAAAGGCCUGGGCGAAACUGCUUUGCUCAACCGGGCUGAACAAGCGGAGGCCACUUGCAGAAACAACCGCCGAGUUAUCCAGCUUAAAACACCAUGUAUCUCAGAUGGUCUCAGCAAUCUUUGGCCCCAGGAGUUCCAAUCUCAACCAAAGCAUGCUGAGAAAGCGGAAGGCCAUUUAUACCCUGGUGGAACAACUCUACACCGGGUCACAACGCGCCUUAGCCGUCGUGGCUUUGUCAAAUGAAGUUCCCACUCAUCUGGCGGAUGUGCUAAGGCGGCUUGCCGUGCUACCUCAACGAUUCCAGGAAUUGAGACGAGCUUCUGCAAGAGCCAGAGCCAUAGCUGCAUUAAGCCGGGCCAAGGCAUGGCUACCGGAGCUAGACCCGGCCGACAUCACCCUUGGGUAUCCCAGUUUGAAGGAGGACGGCACCCCCUUUGACCAGAAGGAUUUCGCCGCUUGCAUGAAGGACAUACGCCCUGUGGCCACUCUGAUCGGUAAUGACACGGAUCUUACCAAAUACCAACCAGGUUAUGACGCCGAGAAUCAGAGAAUUCCAACACCACGUUAUGAAGCAAUCAGCCUGAUCCCUCCCACUCGUAAGCAUACCUUCGCCCCUGACGUUGAUCCGGUCGGGUUAAUUGACGAUGAAGCUGAAUUUGAAGCCUUGAGUGGCAUUGACUGGAAAUCAUCAACCUUCCAGGACAGGGAAACAGAUGGAGGAGCAGAAAGGGAUGAACCGGAAGCUUCAGCCCAACAACACCUUUGA